rnacentral:piRNA from 1 species
UACCAAUCUUAAAACGUUUCUGUGCUGAG